GUCUUCGUGGAGUAAUGUAACUUACUCCCACUCACUCUGAUAGCUUUCGAGUGCUGGGAGAGUCGGUGGUUCAAACCUACCCGAAGACA